GUGAGUGAUGGAAUUAUAGGUAUAUGCUACCACACCGUCUCUGGAUUUUAUUUUAAUGUGAUGGGUUACAUACAUAUAGUUUUAAUAAUUUCAGGUCCAUUUUAAUUUUUAAUAGCCAUUAGUGUCCAGUUUGCUUAAUCUGCUUAAAAUGUUAUUUUUAUUGUUUACUCCUACUGACUCAAGGAAAAAUUUUUUAUAUUUUUGAAAAGAUUUAUUUAUUUAUCUUAUGUCUGUGAAUACAAGGUCACUGUCUUCAGACAAAUCAGAGGAGGACACUGGAAAUCAUUACAGAUGUUGUGAGCCACCAUGUGGUUGCUGGGAACUGAACUUAAGGCCUCUAGAAGAGCAGUUGGUGCUCUUAACCUCUAAGUUAUUUUUUCAGCCCCUAUUCUUAUUUUUUUUUAUAGUUCAAGUAGUUCCAUAGUUAUAAAAUUAAAUCUCAGUCUUAUUAUUCAGUGAACUUACUUGUGAAGGACAUUAUUUCCUUCUAUAUAUCUAGAUUUUUCAGUAGCCCCAACUAAGUAAAUCUCUCUUGAUACAUUUUCAAAAUGUCCUGCAUGUUCAUCAUAAUAGUUUGCUUACUGUGUCUGUUAGUACCAGUGGGGUGUGGGGAGUUAAUUCCCUUUCAGAGCUAAUGGUGGUUUUCAACGUUACUCAUUUUUUGACCCAGCAUCCCUAUAAUGCUCAUGCUGGCUUUGACUCACAUUCCUCUUGCCUCUGAUUCUAGAGUGUUUUGUUUUUCCUUUCUUUACAUUGAUUGAUUAUUUGAUUGUUUGUAUCUGUCUGGAGGUCAGAGGACAACUGGGAGUCAGUUCUCUCUUUCCAUGAGGUGGAUUCUGCAGCUAGAAUUUAGGUUGUCAGGUUUGGAGUCACGUGUCUUUACCUGCUGAGCUAUCUUGUAUACCUAAUUUAAUGCUGAUUGCAAAAUUAAUCGUUAUUGAUACCAAAUUAAGAAUUGCAUAGUUUUCUUGUUAUAACUAAAAAUAAUUUUAUCUUGCUGAUCUUUGACUUAUGUAACCUUUUGAUUUUCUCAUAACCUGUUGUUUCUGUUCUAUCAUAGGACUUAAGAAUGUUUCAGUUUAUUUGGGAUUUCUUGACUCUCUCAAUUUAAGAUAAUAGCUCAUUCACCCUUUCCAAAGUAGUGCAGAAAUUACAUAUAUUCAAAUUUGUCUUAUUAAAGAAAUCCUUACAAUGGAAACAAAGCUUACUUCAAGUUAAUUUGCCUUUUAACCUUAAGACCCUAAAUUAUGAGUUCUUAGAUAAUUAAGAAUAUCAACUACACUGCUAUUGAUGAGUUAAGGUGAUGCCUCCCUCAUCCCCUUUACUACUAAAAAUCUAAUCUCUUUAAUCAGUUCUUGAUAACUAAUUGUUAUUUUAAAAUUUGAGAAAAGCUGUUAAACACUGAUGUAAAUUAUCAUAUGAUAACCACUGUAACAGGAAAAUAAAAUUUGCUCUGAUUGCCAUUUUACAUGUUUAACCAUCUGUCACAAGUCAGUUUUCCUAAAAAUCCACUCAGUUUUAAGUCCAGUGAUUAAUAAAUAUCCUUAUAUUUAAUGUAAAUGAGUAAAUACCUAAUAAAAAAUU
rnacentral:lncRNA from 1 species